GACGAACGCUGGCGGCGUGCUUAACACAUGCAAGUCGAACGGAAAGGCCCUGCUUUUGUGGGGUGCUCGAGUGGCGAACGGGCGAGUAACACGUGAGUAACCUGCCCUUGACUUUGGGAUAACUUCAGGAAACUGGGGCUAAUACCGGAUAGGAGCUCCUGCUGCAUGGUGGGGGUUGGAAAGUUUCGGCGGUUGGGGAUGGACUCGCGGCUUAUCAGCUUGUUGGUGGGGUAGUGGCUUACCAAGGCUUUGACGGGUAGCCGGCCUGAGAGGGUGACCGGCCACAUUGGGACUGAGAUACGGCCCAGACUCCUACGGGAGGCAGCAGUGGGGAAUAGUGCACAAUGGGCGGAAGCCUGAUGCAGCAACGCCGCGUGCGGGAUGACGGCCUUCGGGUUGUAAACCGCUUUCGCCUGUGACGAAGCGUGAGUGACGGUAAUGGGUAAAGAAGCACCGGCUAACUACGUG
rnacentral:rRNA from 1 species